GUGCUUGCUUCGCGGCACAUAUGCUAAAGUUGGACCAAUACAGAGAAAAUUAGCAUGGCCCCUGCAUAAGCAUGUCACACUAAUCUGUGAAGCAGUCCAUAUUUUA
ensembl:snRNA U6 U6 spliceosomal RNA